GGGCAGCUCACCAACAGACAAGAUACUAGUCUUUGAGAAGACCUUGACUCACAAGACCAUAUAGCUCUUGAGAUCAAGCCCAGUAACAUUAUCAAGAAAUGGUCGAACAGCUGGAGUAUGACAGCACUGUGUCCAACAUUAAGAGUUUACCCUGCAUGCACAGUGUUAUCAACUGGCCCUCACUGUGACAGCUUGCCCUGAAGUACAUAAACCUAGGACAUGAUGAUCUACAGCAAGUGCUGACCUGCACACUAUGCUGUAAACUGCAGCAAGAAGUAUGGCUACAGCAGCAACCACCACCCAAAGAAAGAUGUCAAGUAAACAGGGAGCAGCCUGGCCUGCACAUGGCAUCAUGUACACACACACACACACACACACACACACACACAUAUUCUAAAUUGGAAGUUCUAUAAGUACCAUAGGCAUGAACAAUGGGCUUCUUUUUAAACAUUUAUCAGUGGGUGUUAAAAUGUGUGGCAGUCAGAGGCUGAGAGUACUGGCUGUCUCCUUUACUACAUGGGCUCUAUGGACAGAAUUUGGGCUUCAGAGCAAAUACUUUUAUCUCACUGGCCUCCAACAACAGAUUUAGGUUUCUGGGGAUGGGAGGGGGGAUUUAAAUUAUGCUUAUGAGUCUUUUGCCUACAUGUUUAUGUGCCAUAUGCACACCUCGUGCCAGUGGAGGCCAGAAGGUCAUUAGAUUCUCUAUGAGCCACCAAGUAGAUGCUUAAAUUCAGAUCUUCUACAAGAAUAAAGGAGUGUUCAUAAGAUUUCUUUAAACCCAAUGUGAAACAUUUUCAAAUUUAAAAUGACUAUAUCAUCAUUUUAGAGUAAAAAGCUAUUUUUCACUCUUUCCUAAAAAUCGUUUUGAACAACCGCCUAAAAACAACCAUGUAAGUAAUUAUUGAUAGACACAGACUCUAGAAAGCGAAUACAGGAUCAUCAGCAAUUAAAUAUACAUAAUAGAAAGGCUCUGAAUCU
rnacentral:lncRNA from 1 species